rnacentral:rRNA from 1 species
CACGCUGUAAACUAUGAUUACUAGCUGUUUGCGAUAUAUUGUAAGCGGCACAGCGAAAGCGUUAAGUAAUCCACCUGGGGAGUACGCCGGCAACGGUGAAACUCAAAGGAAUUGACGGGGGCCCGCACAAGCGGAGGAACAUGUGGUUUAAUUCGAUGAUACGCGAGGAACCUUACCCGGGCUCGAACGGUGUAUGCAUACAUAUGAAAGUAUGUAGUUAGCAAUAACAUAUACCGAGGUGC